GAUGAAGAACGUAGCGAAAUGCGAUACUUGGUGUGAAUUGCAGAAUCCCGUGAACCAUCGAGUCUUUGAACGCAAGUUGCGCCCGAAGCCUCGGCUAAGGGCACGUCUGCCUGGGCGUCACGCAUCGCGUCUCCCCCAAACCGCCAAGGCGGAGGGGAAGGAAGAUGGCUUCCCGUGCCUCACCCGGGCGCGGUUGGCCUAAAUUUGGAGCCCGCGGCACUUAGCUCUCGCGGCGAUAGGUGGUGAACAAGGCCUUGGCCGUGCAAACAACCCGCUGCGAAGCUCUAUGUCACGUGCGCUCGUCGGACCCUUUGAAGUUGCCUUCGGUGACUUAAAACCUUUGCGACCCCAGGUCAGGCGGGGCUACCCGCUGAAUUUAAGCAUAUCAAAGCGGAGGA
rnacentral:misc_RNA from 1 species